UGUUUAUUGAGUGGAAAAAAGACACAUAAA
rnacentral:piRNA from 1 species